UGGGGAAUUUUGCACAAUGGGGGAAACCCUGAUGCAGCGACGCCGCGUGAUUUAGAAGGCCUUCGGGUUGUAAAAAUCUUUUUUACGGGAUGAAAAUGACAGUACCGUAAGAAUAAGGUCCGGCUAAAUACGUGCCAGCAGCCGCGGUAAUACGUAUGGACCGAGCGUUGUCCGGAAUCAUUGGGCGUAAAGGGUACGUAGGCGGCCUAGUAAGUUAGAAGUGAAAUAAUAUAGCUCAACUAUAUAAAGCUUUUAAAACUGCUAGGCUUGAGAGAUGGAAGGGAAAGUGGAAUUCCUAGUGUAGCGGUGAAAUGCGCAGAUAGUAGGAAGAAUACCGGUGGCGAAGGCGACUUUCUGGUCAUCAUCUGACGCUGAGGUACGAAAGCGUGGGUAGCAAACAGG
rnacentral:rRNA from 1 species